CAAAGCCUCCCUACAAACCUGCACAAAUUUUUUAUAAUGCAAAAUGUUAGGUAUCCUAAAUACAGUAGAAAGGGCCUGAGUGAUCAUGCCUCAUGCUGCUUUUUAUGCUUGUUUCUUAACCAACGUUUAUGUGCUCCAAGCAGAAGUGGUCUCCUCCGCCUGCUUCACCUGACAGUAAUGAGUUUGAUUUAUCAGAUUCUGGAGAUCCCACUUGCCUCUCGCACUGUAAAAAACGUCUAAUUUGGUGGUCUCGAUGAAAUGUGCUUUCUGUUUCAUGUUCCCCGGUGAGAUAAGACGGCUAUCAGGGCAGGAAGCCUUCUUGGAAGUCACCGUGGGCUUGGCAUCGCCGCGCAUCAAGGUAGCCAUGGAAACCUGCUCUCAAAGCCGGCGCCGGCUGAUAAGAACCUCAAGUGCCACCGCCUGUGUCCGGCCGGGAGAAGCAACACCUGCUCAGCAUACUGCCACCAGUGAGUCUGUACAAUUGUAACACUAGUCUUACCCUGCAGAAGUCUGCCCAUAUCUGGUCCACACCCACCAACAUGGUUCUGCAGUGGCUCCUCUCUGAAAUCCUCUGUUCUGGAAGGAGAGCGUACAUAAAAGCAGCUUUCCUACAGUGGUGAAGGAGAUUUGCAUUCAACAAGUGGUUUAUUUUGUCAUGAUUUUCCUGCAAAGACAAAUUUUAACCUUGUAGGUAGUUCUCAGGUGGCUCCUCGGGGUGUGAUUGCAAGGAAUGGCAGUGUUUGUAGGAUGGCAGUGUUUGUGUUAUACCUUCCACUGGUGGGCCCACCUUGCCCUUAGUAGCCACUGCUGCAGGAUCAAGGCAAGAAAGGGUUUGGUUCAUCUCAGAGAUACAUUUGCAGCUUGCAUAAGCAUCCAAGUUGCAAGUAAAGACUUGUGGAGGUCAGGUGCACAAAGCUAGUAUAGUUUUUGUGCAAAUAUGAGGCAAAUGGAAGCACAGCCACAGAAGAUUUACAUCGAUAAAUUUCAAGUCUGGGUCAAUUAUCCAUGUUAAAAAGAAAAAAAGUUCUUGUGGUAAAGUUCUCAUUUUGGUUAUGAAAGUCUCCCAGUGACAUAAAACUUGUUCCUGCCAGGGCAGAAUUAUCCCUUGUGUCAGUGGGGCUCCUGCCCUCCUGGGGGAAGAGAGAGGUGACAGCAGAGAGCUGCCACACAGCCAGCAAGCAGAGACUUCCUGUAAUGCCUUUGUUAAUGGUGUGUUUCUGGGAGCGGGUCCAGGCCCGUUUAAAAGCGUAAAUACUCUUUUACUGUUAUUCCUUGGGUUGAGUUUUGAUCCAUGAGGCUUUAUCUUUGGACACAGCCAUUUCCCAGAGCAGUGUCCCUGUCCUCAUGAUGAAGGGCUCUGCAGUACAUCCUUUGGUUCUCUAAAACACGGCACGCUUUGCAGACCUAAAACAUUUCCUGGCUGAUUGAUGGCAACUCAUUUAAUGCAACGUGUAGGUCUAAAACUAUGAAUAUAUUGAGCUGAGGAA
rnacentral:lncRNA from 1 species